rnacentral:lncRNA from 1 species
CUGCAGUGAAGACUCGUGCAGUCUCUGAUGCUGCUGAGAAGCUUGCCAACAUGAGCAUUGGCUCUGCUAGGGCGCCUAUAAAGCAUCCAUUGCCUCAGCCUAUGAAGGCCGGAGGGUUGCAUCCAUUGCCUCAACCUAUGAAGGCAGGAGGGUUGCAUGGGCCGCGUGACGUGUUCCUGGGACGAUCUCAAGAUAUUAUGCCUGGAAGAAGCUAUUCGAGGAAAAUCGCAGGAUGAAGAGAUGGUCAGUCGUACCCGGGGUGUGUUUUCUUGUGAUGGUGUUUUCUAGUAAUGGUGUUGUGUGCCUGACUACAUCUGGAUAAGUUUGGUGAGAAGCAGUUUAUGUAUGUUAUGUCAGUUUGUUUCCUUCCGGUGAUACAGUAGAAUGUUGGGAACUGCGUGUUAAAUAAACGUUGUGGUUGUGUUUGAAAUAGAUUUCUCUGACCAACAUUUGCUAUAAAUAAAUGGUGUGAUGGUG